rnacentral:rRNA from 1 species
UACGGGGGGGGCAAGCGUUGUUCGGAAUUACUGGGCGUAAAGGGCUCGUAGGCGGCCAACUAAGUCGGAUGUGAAAUCCCCAGGCUUAACCUGGGAACUGCAUCCGAUACUGGAUGGCUUGAAUUCGGGAGAGGGAUGCAGAAUUCCAGGUGUAGCGGUGAAAUGCGUAGAUAUCUGGAGGAAUACCGGUGGCGAAGGCGGCAUCCUGGACCGACAUUGACGCUGAGGCGCGAAAGCCAGGGGAGCAAACGGG